UUUUUUAUAAAAGUAAUUUAUUUAUUUGAGGUUUUAGUAUUUAGUAAAAAUUAAUUUAUAGAUUUAUAGUUUAAUAGUAUUGUAAAAGAAUUAAUUAAAUUUUAAUAAGAAUAUUUUUAGUACCUUUUGUAUCAGGGUUAAUUAAAAUUUUUAAUUUUUUUUUAAUUUCUCAAAAUUUAUAGAGUUAAUUUUAUUAUUAAUUUAUUGUGUUAUAAAUAUUUAUAAAAUAAUAUUAGUUUUGAAAUUUAAUUCGUUAUAUUAUAUUUAGUUAUUUAAGAUUUAAAUUUAAUUUAAAAUUUUAAAAGUUAUUUUGAUUUUAUAUAUUAAUAUUUUAAAUUUAAAUUAUUUUAGGGAUAAGCUUAAAAUUUUUAUAUAAUAAUUUAUUUAUUUUAAUAAUUUAUAGGAAUAGAAAUUUUUAUUUUAAGUUUGUAAAAAUUUAUUAUUUAUUUAUUUUUAAUUUAUUAUAAAUUUAUUUAUUUUUUUUAUUAAAUUUUAUUAAUUAAUAUUUAAUUUUUAGUAAUAAUGAUUAAAUUAGUAUAAUUGAUAUUUAUAAAUUAUGAAUUCGGCAAAAAUUAUUUUCAUCUGUUUAACAAAAACAUUGUAUUAAGUUUAAUUUAAUAUAGGAUCUGCUCAAUGAUUUAUUAAAUAGCUGCAGUAUUUUGACUGUGCAAAGGUAGCAUAAUAAUUAGUCUUUUAAUUGAGGACUUGUAUGAAAGAUUUGAUGAGAAAUAAACUUUAUUAUUUAUAUAAUUAAAAUUUUAUUUUUAAGUAAAAAAGCUUAAAUUAUUUAAAGGGACGAUAAGACCCUAUAAAACUUUAUAAAUGUUAAUUUUAAUUUUUUUGGAUUUAUAAAUAUUUUAAUUUUAUUAUUUAUUUUAUUGGGGUGAUAAAAAAAAUUUUUAAACUUUUUUUAAAGUUUUACCUUAUUUAAAGAAUAUUUGAAUUAAAAUUUUUAAUUAAAGGAAAAAGUUACCUUAGGGAUAACAGCGUAAUUAAUUUUUUAAGUUCAAAUUUGAAAAUUAGUUUGCGACCUCGAUGUUGAUUUGUCAAUAAUCUUAGGUGCAAAAUUUUAAGUAUUAGGUCUG
rnacentral:rRNA from 1 species